rnacentral:lncRNA from 1 species
CUCUCUCUCUCUCUCUCUCUCUCUCUCUCUGCAGUUAUAGCUAGCAACAGGCCCAUCUGCAUGGUAUGCAAACAAGAGGUAAACCACAGAGACUGCCACUAGUUAUUACAGUGAUUUUGGCCACUAAAUUAUCUGUUUUUCUUUUUUUCCGAGUCAUUCUUGUACUGCCUGCCAUGAAAAAACCCUGAUGAUAGAAUACAAAUAUUUGUGUAUUCUAUCGUCAGUUCACAGAGAAGAAAUUCUUUUUUCUUCAGUGUGUAUUCUAUCGUUAGUUCUGUGUGUAUUUUUGUUCUCUUUUCUUCAGUCCACAAAGAAUAAAUAUUGUCAGUUCAUGAAUAGAGAAUUUCUGAAAUAAACUUAAUAUUAGUUUGGUGUGUAUUCUAUCGUCAGUUCAUGAAAAAAUACAAACUAGUUGGUGCGUGUGCAAAAAUAUCAUCAGUUCAUGUUUUGAAAUUCUGUAAGUUUACAUAUAUCACCUAAAUAAGUAAUGUUUUGUAGCGAGUUUCUUACGUGUCUAUUCUGAUUCAAGUGCCUUGUUCUUCCUGAAACACAAGGUGCUUGUGUUAAUGCCUAUGGGAGAAUAGCACGUACAGGGACUGUGUACUAGUGUUGAAAACAGGAUAAAGUCCUAAGAUAAUGAUGUUCUCCCCUGCUUCCACUUCCAUUCGCCACCUCAGAACCCCGCGCACUACCGCCCUCCCUUACCCCCUGCAGCUCGCCGUGUGCAAGUUCUUCAGUCCAAGUUCUAUGGAGAGCUCGUCUCUUGUUUCAUUUUCCUUAACACUCGGUAACGAAAAUGAUCGUUCAACUUCAAAUAUGUUUUGGACUGAUUGUUCAAGUUCUUUCGUAUAGAAGGUUCAGAAAGUUUUGUUCCUGAAAAUGCACAUAUUUGGAGUACGCCAAUAUAUAUGUAUUUCUGAAUUUUGCCCUUGAGUAAUAGUUCAACAUGUAUUACGCCAUCAAUUCAUAAUGGAAAGGCAGCAAACAGUUCAAUAGAUGUGUGUUAAAAAUGUAACUGUAUAGAGAAACUUUCGUAGUAGUUCGAUGGAAUAAAUCGCAUCAGUUCUGACUCGGAUCCGUUCUUGCCUACAAUGCAUUGAAAAAUCAAUUUUUUUGCCUUUCUUAAGGCUUGAGAAGCACGUAUCUCUAGGAUAUGUGCCAUGUUAAACUUGAGUUGUUUUCAGUUAACACAAAGUGACUGUCUCUUAAGCCUAAACUAAAAUUUAUUUAUGUGAGAGACACCUGAACUGAAGUUGUUCCCAAGUAAAAGAAACUUCAACUUGUUUGAGCGUAUCUGGUUAGGAUAAUUGUAAUAACUUUAGUUCUCGUCAAUGGUAACGGAACAAAAUUUUUGGAUCCUCUUAAAUGUAACUUGAAGAACGCUAGCGCUGAGGUUGGGCAUUGUUUAUCAAUGGUAAGUUGUUCAUAAGGUCGGCCGGCAGAAAAUUUCCUAAGUUCAACUAUGUCGCUAGAGCUUCAGUCCAACUAUGUUGCUUCUGCGAUUUUCCUUAUGCAGAAAAUCACACUGAAGGACGUUCAACUAUGUUUCAUCUCUGAACUUAAACGCGUUUGUUCUUUGAGCUAAAAUUCAUAGAGCUUUACUUUUGAUGAUUCUUGUACCUAUUGUUCAGAAAUCAAUGGUAAAUUUUUUGAUUGCAGCAAUGGCGAUUGGACGAGGGAGGUUGGACGGACUGCAGAUUGGCGAUGUUACCCCCCCUCUCUCAAAGACAAUAAGACCAAAAAGGUUCAGUUAUCAACAUUCAUCUAUUGCUACUGAACUGAAGCAUGUCACUAACUCACUAUUGAACUGAAGAAACUGAAUUGAAGUUCCAUAGACAUGUUGUGUUAUUCUUGUAGUGCAAAAAUGUGUCAUCCCCCUGAAUACGAAAUGUCAUCGAUUUGCCCAUAGUUCCCUUUCUCUUUUCUUGUUCUUGUUUCUACCUCAGCCAGUAAGUUGUAUCCGUGUACACAUUUCUAGUUUCUAUUGCUAUUGGUUCAAAUGAUCAAUUGCUAUAAGUUCCCAUGAUAUUGUCCCAUCAGUUCAAGUGAUCAUUGUUGUCUUGUUUAAGCCGUUUAAGUACAAAAUUACUAGCAUUGAUCUUUGUGCAGCGAUCAGGCCGUUCAGCUCUGGCACCGAAGCCGUUCACCUCUGCCACAGGAGGCCGUUCGACGAAGCAGCGCUCAUCUUGUUGUGUUUUUAAAGUACAUGUUUUAUGUGCUUUUCAGUUCACCUACUUGACGAUUCUAUAGUACACUAGGUGUUUGUGUUGUGCCUUAAUAAGCAUUUGAGAAAACCUUGUAUGGAUCGAAACUACCAUAUGUUCUGUUCUAUUCUUGUAAAUGAAGCUCCACUUCUGUUUUGUUUGAAGUUAUUUGGCAUAAAAAUUAGUAUAUGUUCUACUGUAAAAGACAUAUAAAAUGUCUUGAUGCAUGCUAGCAGAAAUUUGAAAAUACACUCAGUUCAAGUUGUUUGUUGUUAUUCCUACGAGAAAAAUGAAUAUGAAUGUAUGUGAAUGUUGCCCUCAAUUACACUAUAUGCUUGUUCUCUUCAGUUGUAUGUGAAUGAUUUAUUCUUGAGUUCAAACCUGGAAGAGAAAUUAUGCUCAGUUUGUUGCUUGCACU